rnacentral:rRNA from 1 species
GAUGAACGUUGGCGGCGUGCCUAAUACAUGCAAGUCGAACGAAGACUGUAGUAAUACUGUCUUAGUGGCGAACGGGUGAGUAACGCGUGGGUGACCUGCCCCGAAGUGUGGGAUAACAGUUCGAAAGGAUUGCUAAUACUGCAUAAUAUCCAAGAGAUUAGACGCUUUUGGAUUAAAGGAGUAAUUCGCUUCGGGAGGGGCCCGCGUCCCAUCAGCUAGUUGGUAAGGUAAUGGCUUACCAAGGCGAUGACGGGUAGGGGACCUGAGAGGGUGGCCCCCCACAAUGGAACUGAAACACGGUCCAUACACCUACGGGUGGCAGCAGUAGGGAAUAUUAGUAAUGGGCGAAAGCCUGAACUAGCAACGCCGCGUGUGCGAAGAAGGCCUUCGGGUUGUAAGCACUUUUGUAGAGGAUGAGGAAGGACGGUACGUCUCAGAAUAAGUCUCGGCUAACUACGUG